AGCAGAAGCCGCGGUAAUACGUAGGUGGCAAGCGUUGUCCGGAAUUAUUGGGCGUAAAGGGCUCGCAGGCGGUUUCUUAAGUCUGAUGUGAAAGCCCCCGGCUCAACCGGGGAGGGUCAUUGGAAACUGGGAAACUUGAGUGCAGAAGAGGAGAGUGGAAUUCCACGUGUAGCGGUGAAAUGCGUAGAGAUGUGGAGGAACACCAGUGGCGAAGGCGACUCUCUGGUCUGUAACUGACGCUGAGGAGCGAAAGCGUGGGGAGCGAACAGGAUUAGAUACCCCCGUAGUCCCUGUCUCUUAUAC
rnacentral:rRNA from 1 species